CUUAAAGUGCUGUGGAAAAAUAAAGAUAAGUUGUAUAAAAUAUUUCAUUUAAAAUGAAGAAAAGAGCUUUUAAUAUCGCCAUGAGCAAGAAAAACGGAUUUACGAAUCCAAUAUUAAAAAAUUGCAUCGCAUCGCCAGUUCUCUACCACUGCAGUCCUAUUGCGUUGUGAAUUUAAUAGAAACAAAAUUAAAAGAUCCAGAGUAUACACAAGCCAUGGUCAAUUAUAUCAAAAAUAAAAGUUGUGUCUGAGGACGUAGCCAGCGGUAUUAAACAUUCAUUUUCGGAGGAGGCAUUGCUGCAUCUUAACUUUGAGGGCAGAUGGGAGAGAAAACCACUAAACAAACGUAGGAGAUGCAUUUAAAAAGAAAGGUCCUGUUGCGUUCGAAAAAGAAAUCAGGAAGGCAAUUGAGCUCAGCCAUCACCGCUUGCACCAAAAAAUCACAAAACAUAUCGGUUGGAAAUGUAUAACCCCUGUAGG